rnacentral:tRNA from 1 species
GCGGUAGUAGCUCAGUUGGUAGAGCAUCGGCUUCCCAAGCCGAGGGUCACGAGUUCGAGUCUCGCCUACCGCUCCA